rnacentral:rRNA from 1 species
UGGGGAAUCUUCCACAAUGGGCGCAAGCCUGAUGGAGCAACACCGCGUGAGUGAAGAAGGGUUUCGGCUCGUAAAGCUCUGUUGUUAAAGAAGAACACGUAUGAGAGUAACUGUUCAUACGUUGACGGUAUUUAACCAGAAAGUCACGGCUAACUACGUGCCCG